UCAGUCGACUCCUACGGGGAGGCAGCAGUGGGGGAAUAUUGCACAAUGGGCGCAAGCCUGAUGCAGCCAUGCCGCGUGUGUGAAGAAGGACCUUCGGGUUGUAAAGCACUUUCAGUCGUGAGGAAGGUAGUGUAGUUAAUAGCUGCAUUAUUUGACGUUAGCGACAGAAGAAGCACCGGCUAACUCCGUGCCAGCAGCCGCGGUAAUACGGAGGGUGCGAGCGUUAAUCGGAAUUACUGGGCGUAAAGCGCAUGCAGGUGGUUUGUUAAGUCAGAUGUGAAAGCCCGGGGCUCAACCUCGGAAUAGCAUUUGAAACUGGCAGACUAGAGUACUGUAGAGGGGGGUAGGAAUUUCAGGUGUAGCGGUGAAAUGCGUAGAGAUCUGAAGGAAUACCGGUGGCGAAGGCGGCCCCCUGGACAGAUACUGACACUCAGAUGCGAAAGCGUGGGGAGCAAACAGGAUUAGAUACCCUGGUAG
rnacentral:rRNA from 1 species